GGCGGGGUAGUCUCGCGUGUGUGAAGCCUGCGUGUAUGCACCGUGUGUGUGCCUGUGUGCACUGUGCGUGCACUGUGUGUGUGGACCAUGUAUGUGCACGUGUGCACCGCGUGUGUGCACCCGUUGGAAACCUGGUGCUGAAACACGGCAGGGCUUAGGCUGGAGUCCUACCUUCAUCGUUUUCACUCGUCCUGUUUCAUCGAGUCUCAAUAAGUUGCCAAGACUGGUCUCAAACUUGUGAUCCUCCUGCCUCAGAC
rnacentral:lncRNA from 1 species